GAUGUUGACAGAUGGCCUUGGGUUAUGCGUUUGAUUGGAUUGUAACAGUCAAGGUUAUCCCUGUGAAUCACAAGCAGUUGCCAUGGUGCAGGUGAGAGAGGUCAUGGGGCCAUGGGCAGCUCCAGGGUUGGGGUCAUUCUCUUCAGACUUCGUCAUGUUCUCUCUGCUCUUCCUCCUCCUCUCCAUCAUCCUCGCCCUCUGCACUAACUGUAGAAGGCAUUCCUUUACACUCCGGGAUGGUGGUGAGGAGGUGGACAGAACCCAGUCACAGCUGGUCAGAGUGGUGAAGCUAGAGGAUGCCCUGGCCGCCAGGGAGAAUCCAAUGAUCAAUGACAUCAGAAAAGAUGAGAGUGAUUUCAGUCCCAGACCUGAGGACAGUGUCAUUGGAGUCCCAGAGCAGCCUCCUGCUGAUCAGGAUGUCACCUGGUUGAAACCCUGGAGGAGCCACAGGGAGGCACCUGAUCAAGGUGAUUCUCCAAGUGCCUUGCAGAUUGCCAACAGAACCCCCCUGGCCAUGACGGUUAUAUCUCCUUCGCCUCCCACAACCGUCGACAUUGGUGACCUGAGUGAUGUCCUGAACUUCACACCUGAGCUCCACUUUAUCCCAGCCCCCGUUGCCAUAGUGGAAGUCGACACCCGCCUUGAAUCUUUAUUCCCACCUGUCUAUUCAGAGGACACCCUAGAUGCCACCAUCGUGAGCAGCUUUGAACCUGUUGAUGUCCCCAUAAUGAGCAGCUUUAACCCUGUUGCUGUCCCCAUCCUUGAACCUCUGGUUGUCCCCAUCGUGAGCAAUUUUGAACCUGUGGAAGCCCCCAUCGUGGAUCUCCCCAUCAUGGAUGUCACCAUUGUGAACAGCCUUGAACCUCUGCAAGCCCCAAUCGUGGAUGCACCCAUCGUGAGCAGCCUUGAACCUGUUGAACAUGCGGAUGCCACUGUCAUUAAUGACCUUGAUAUCCUGAAUGCUCCAGUUGGCUUAGAGAACCUGGAUGCCCCAGUCAUCAACAGUCUUGACACACUGGUGCUGGACGCCCUCAUUGUAAACAGCCUUGAACCUGUGGACAUCCCUGUCAUCAAUGACCUUGGAACUCCAGAUCCUCCAAUCGUAAAUAUUCUUUACACCCUGGAGCUGGAUGCUCCCAUCAUAGAUGUCACCAUCGUGGACAGCCUUGCACCUAUGGAAUUCCCCACCAUGAAUGACAUUGACCUCCUGAAGGCCCCUGCGGAGUUCAGCUCCAGCUUUAACCCUCAGCUUGAAGUAGAGGUUAAUGUGGAGGGUGAGGGCCAGAACCAGGGGCUUUCUCUCUAUGUCGGACCCCAGCAUACCUAUGAGAUCAUUGGGGAGCCCAAUCCUAAUGAACACUCUGUGGAAGUGGACCUGGCAACAGCAAGCUCUCAAACCAUAGCUGAACUGGUCAAUAAAUCCACCACACAUUCUGACAAUGACACAACCACAGUCACUGAGCCAGCGGACCUGGCAGGCCCCGGCUACGAGACUAUAGCUGAACUGGUCCAGGAUUUGAGUGCAACCACACUGCCUGAUGAUGACCCUAUCACAACCACAGUCACAGAGCCAGGGGAUCUGAUAACCCCUGAGUAUGAAACCAUAGCUGAACUGGUCCAUAAAUUGAGUGCAACCACACUGCCUGACGAUGAGCCAAUAACAACCACAGUCACAGAGCCAGAAGGGCUUGACCUUACAAGCCCUCUCUCAUUGGUAGAGGAGGGUUUCUGUGACAGGGGGUGGAAUCCAAUGUACGCUAGAGUGAGAAGGAAGCUUAGUAAAAGUACCACCCCACCCCCUGUGCUUCCAUCGGAGAAUGAGGAACCGGAGGGAUUUUCACCUCCAUUACCAGAGAGAAGUGGAGAGAUGGAGGGAUGA
rnacentral:lncRNA from 13 species